rnacentral:misc_RNA from 1 species
UAGAGUUUUCUAAACUCCCAACCCAUGUGAACUUACCAUUGUUGCCUCGGCAGAAGUUGCUCGGUGCACCCUACCUUGGAACGGCCUACCCUGUAGCGCCUUACCUUGGAACGGCUUACCCUGUAGCGGCUGCCGGUGGACUACCAAACUCUUGUUAUUUUAUUGUAAUCUGAGCGUCUUAUUUUAAUAAGUCA